ACAUAGCAAUAACAACAUUCUGAGACACAGAGGUGCCAGUGAUGGACUGGAUCAGCUUGAAAGAAGCACAAAGACUCCGUGAUCACAAUAGUCAAAGACUGGCUUUGGAACACAGUACCAAGUAAUUCACAGAAAAAGGUCUGAUCGACCCUCCUUCCUAUAAAGACAAAAGUUGUCUUAACAUCUAAGAGGAACCAUAUUGCGGUGAAAGGGGUGCUACGAAUCCUGGGUUUUAGCUCUUGCACUACGUCUCAGUGUGACAUUGGAUCCCAAUUUCCUCACCACCAAAGCCAACGGGCUAUUAAAACUCCCUUAGAAGUAGCUUUAAUCCCUAAAGACAAGACUAAAAAUAUUAACAGUGCUUGAGCCUCUGGAACCGAACCAGCACUGGAGUUUUGUUUGGUCGUCCCCUCUCUUCCCCCUCAAGAUUAACGAUCUGGAGGGAAUUCUGCCUCAUCAGUACAUCUCUUCCUACCUCGCCUUCCUCCGCUGCAGCUUCUUUCAAGUCCGCAUCUGCGUCUCCGUCAGUUUCCUCUGGGAUUCCAUCGGUGUCGGUAGCCCCCGGGUCCCCGGGCACAGCGGCCGUCUCAUCCGACUCCCCUGUCUCUCCACCUUUGUCGGAGGGCGACUCGUGGGCAUCGUCCAUCACGGAUAGGAUUGGAGGGGAGAGGAGAUCGCGGAGAUGCCUGAGGCAGAAGCUCGGAACCCCGAGCUGCACAGGCCAGGAUCUUACUUCCUGUCGUCGCGCAGCGAUGACAUCACCCCUACCGCUCUCCUGAGGGGUCAUUUUGAGGCGCGCGUAGAGGACUAGAGGACUCAUUUUAACUUUGGUUUGGCGACAGUAGGAAGCGGGAAAAUUGGA